ensembl:lncRNA
GGUGGGGACAGUGGGGAACAGGUGGGGACAGUGGGGAACAGGUGGGGGCAGUGGGGAACAGGUGGGGACAGUGGGGAACAGGUGGGGAACAGGUGGGGACAGUGGGGAACAGGUGGGGACAGUGGGGAACAGGUGGGGAUAGUGUGGAAGAGGUGGAGCCAGUGGGGAACAGGAGGGGGUGGGGACAGUGGGGAACAGGUGGGGACAGUGGGGAACAGGUGGGGACAGUGGGGAACAGGUGGGGACAGUGGGGAACAGGUGGGGACAGUGGGGAACUGGUGGGGACAGUGGGGAACAGGUGGGGGCAGUGGGGAACAGGUGGGGACAGUGGGGAACAGGUGGGGACAGUGGGGAACAGGUGGGGGCAGUGGGGAACAGGUGGGGACAGUGGGGAACAGGUGGGGAAGAGGUGGAGCCAGCAGGGAAGAGGUGGGGGCAGUGGGGAACAGGUGGGGAAGAGGUGGAGCCAGCGGGGAACAGGUGGGGACAGUGGGGAACAGGUGGGGACAGUGGGGAACAGGUGGGGAUAGUGGGGAACAGGUGGGGGCAGUGGGGAACAGGUGGGGACAGUGGGGAGCAGGUGGGGACAGUGGGGAACAGGUGGGGGCAGUGGGGAACAGGUGGGGACAGUGGGGAACAGGUGGGGAUAGUGUGGAACAGGUGGGGACAGUGGAGAACAGGUGGGGACAUUGGGGAACAGGUGGGCACAGUGGAGAACAGGUGGGGGCAGAAAAUAACAGGUGGGGACAGUGGAGUACAGGUGGGGACAAUGGUGAACAGGUAGGGACAGUGGGGAACAGGUGGGGACAGUGGAGAACAGGUGGGGACAGUGGAAAACAGGUGGGGACAGUGGAGAACAGGUGGGGACAGUGGAAAACAGGUGGGGACAGUGGAGAACAGGUGGGGACAGUGGAGAACAGGUGGGGACAGUGGAGAACAGAUGGGGCAGAAAAGAACAGGUGGGGAACAGGUGGGGAAAGUGGAGAACAGAUAGGGACAGUGGAGAACAGGUGGGGGCAGAAAAGAG